UACGGAGGAUCCAAGCGUUAUCCGGAUUUAUUGGGUUUAAAGGGUGCGUAGGCGGCCUAUUAAGUCAGGGGUGAAAGACGGUAGCUUAACUAUCGCAGUGCCUUUGAUACUGAUGGGCUUGAAUGUACUUGAGGUAGGCGGAAUGUGACAAGUAGCGGUGAAAUGCAUAGACAUGUCACAGAACACCAAUUGCGAAGGCAGCUUACUAAAGUAUGAUUGACGCUGAGGCACGAAAGCGUGGGGAUCAAACAGG
rnacentral:rRNA from 1 species